UACGUAGGGUGCGAGCGUUUGUCCGGAAUUAUUGGGCGUAAAGGGCUCGUAGGCGGUUUGUCGCGUCGGGAGUGAAAACCUUGGGCUUAACUCAGGGCUUGCUUUCGAUACGGGCAGACUAGAGGUAUGCAGGGGAGAACGGAAUUCCUGGUGUAGCGGUGAAAUGCGCAGAUAUCAGGAGGAACACCGGUGGCGAAGGCGGGUCUCUGGGCCGUAACUGACGCUGAGGAGCGAAAGCGUGGGGAGCGAACAGG
rnacentral:rRNA from 1 species